rnacentral:rRNA from 1 species
UACGUAGGGGGCAAGCGUUAUCCGGAUUUACUGGGUGUAAAGGGAGCGUAGACGGCAAUGCAAGUCUGGAGUGAAAGGCGGGGGCCCAACCCCCGGACUGCUCUGGAGACUGUAUAGCUGGAGUGCAGGAGAGGUAAGUGGAAUUCCUAGUGUAGCGGUGAAAUGCGUAGACAUUAGGAGGAACACCAGUGGCGAAGGCGGCUUACUGGACUGUAACUGACGUUGAGGCUCGAAAGCGUGGGGAGCAAACAGG